rnacentral:rRNA from 1 species
CACGUAGGGGACGAGCGUUGUCCGGAUUCAUUGGGCGUAAAGCGCGCGUAGGCGGCCCGGCAAGUCGGAUGUGAAAACCUGGGGCUCAACCCCAGGCGUGCACCCGAUACUCCCGGGCUGGAGGCAGGUAGGGGAGAUCGGAAUUCCUGGUGUAGCGGUGAAAUGCGCAGAUAUCAGGAGGAACACCGGUGGCGAAGGCGGAUCUCUGGGCCUUGCCUGACGCUGAGGCGCGAAAGCGAGGGGAGCGAACAGG